rnacentral:lncRNA from 1 species
UGGCCUCUCGUUCCACUUCUUCGCUUUGUACCACCGCGCUUCUUCUCCUGGUCGUUUCUUGGGCAGCAUCCGCUUUUGCCCGCAACUUCUACCAAGACUUCGACAUAACCUGGGGAGAUGGCCGAGCUCAGAUCCUCAAUAGUGGCGACCUCCUCACUCUUUCCCUCGACAAGGCCUCCGGCUCCGGCUUCCAGUCCAAGAACGAGUACCUGUUUGGCAAGAUUGACAUGCAACUCAAGCUCGUUCCCGGCAACUCCGCAGGCACCGUCACCGCUUACUAUGUAAGUCUCCAUCUUAAUCAGUCGGUGCCCCUUUAUCUUCAAGCUUCCUUCUUUUUAUCUCGAUCAGAUUUUAACUUUUACUAUGUUGUUAUUCUACAGUUAUCUUCAAACGGGUCGACGUGGGACGAGAUAGACUUCGAGUUCUUGGGGAACUUGAGUGGCGAUCCGUAUAUUCUUCACACCAACGUGUUCAGCCAAGGCAAGGGCAACCGAGAGCAGCAAUUCUAUCUCUGGUUCGACCCAACUGCUGAUUUCCACACCUACUCCAUCCUCUGGAAUCCGCAACGCAUCAUGUAAGAGUCUAAAACGCUCAAAAUGCGACCUUACUUGCAUUUACAUUGCGCUACACUAUUCUCCGCGGCAUUUACUCAAAAACCUUUGUGUGCGACCAUUGCAGAUUCUCAGUGGAUGGGACUCCGAUCAGAGAGUUCAAGAACGCAGAGUCCAUCGGCGUUCCCUUCCCCAAGGCCCAGCCCAUGAGGAUAUUCUCGAGCCUCUGGAACGCGGACGACUGGGCAACCAGAGGCGGGCUCGUAAAGACAGACUGGACACAAGCGCCCUUCACUGCUUCCUACAGGAACUUCAAUGCUGAUAACGCCUGCGUUUCGUCAUCUGGGUCCUCAUCUUGCACUUCGUCUUCAUCUUCUUCGGAUGGUAAUGCAUGGCUAUCGGAAGAGCUCGACUCAACAAGCCAAGAGAGGCUGAAGUGGGUUCAGAGCAACUACAUGAUCUACAACUACUGUACAGAUGCCAAAAGAUUCCCCCAAGGCGUCCCUCCUGAGUGCACCAUGUCCUAGACGACACAAGACAUAGGAUUUGUAGAAAAUUCUUCGUUUUUUUUUUUUCCCCUUUGUGAGCCAACUCUAUUCAUUAGUUAAUCUCCCUCUCGAUGUACUCGAGAAGCAAUUGAUAAUCUUUUAUUCUUUGACAUUGUAUAACAUUCUUGUCUUUACUCAAUAAAACAGAAGCUCAUCUUGGAUUUCAUAGCAGUGCUGCGAUUCAGUGAGUGGAUACUACACAGAGCAACAUUAAUUGAAAGAAAAUGGAUUAUACAGGCUAGCUCCUGCCUUGAACAUGAAACUGAUGACAGAAUUGAGUACGUUGUUGUAGCUCAGAAAAUUUGAUAAGCGCUAGAUUGAACAAGUUUUGUUUUUAUGUUGAAUUCAACUCCGAUAUCCUCAUCGAGGGACUGAUUUGGUCAACAUUUCUUCCUGGUCCUUGUGCUCCACGGAAGUAUCAAACAUAGACAAUCGAUCAUCACAAUACCAUCAUGACCAGACGAACUCCCUAAAUCUGCAAACUCAACGAACAUACUUGACUCCGACAUAGAAUUAACCAUGAUCUAUGGCCGAUCAACCUCGAGUCAACCCGGGUGGUUUCAAGUCCUCUCCCGAUUUGGGAGCUUCUCUCUCGCAGGAAGAGUUUCUCCACGCUUGGUGUGGUAAUGGCUCAUUUACUCCCAAAUCAAAACCCUAAUCGAAACACCCACCAUCCCAUUUCCGUCUAGCUUCCAUUCCCUGAGAUUUCCAUCCCAGAAUGAGCCUCAUGGUGAAAAUGGAAGUUCUUCGAGCACUGUUCCAUUCAACUGGGGCUGUCAUCCAUGGCAUGUCCAUGCUCCUUCUCACAAAAUGAGCUUUUUUUUAAAACUUUUUUCCACUAAAACAAAAACCAAAUAUCUACAAAAUCCACUACAUCAGCCUUAAUAACCCUUUCCACAAAUCAUCCAGUUCCCAUAUCCAACACUACAAAAACCCUAACCCUUUCCCAGCUAUUGAAUCACGCUUCAAAUCGGCUCUAUGCAAGUUGCCUAAGAUGUCGGGAUUAUCAAUACAGCUUCAAAAUGGUUAUGAUAAGACAGGCGCAACACACCCACCAUCUUCAUCUUGGUAUCAAACGCAAUCCAUUGUCUCAGGUUCGUCUCUUCCCUUAAAGUAUUAAGAACAGGUCUUAAGGCAUCGUCGAGCAAGCUUGUGGUUGUUUUACUACCUUCUUGGACUACUUACUAGAGUGUUUCGCCUCCAUGGAACACAAAGGCGAAGAUCCUCGGAUGAAACUUCUCUGCAAAAGGUUGGGAGAUAUGUGGUCAGAAGAUGAUAUAAUCGAUCUGGAGGAUAUCGACACUAGUGAGCAGGAAAAAGAUUGUCGUGCAAUGUUGAUAGGAAAGCUCUUUAUGAACCCAAAUGUUAAUUUUCAAGCUUUCCAGAGUACUAUGAAGAAGGCUUGGAAAAUAGAAAGUGUUGAUAUUACCCCCUUGGAGCAAGGACUGUUUUUAUUUGCUUUCAAAACAGAAGGGGACUCAAAACGUGUGUUGAAUGGUGGCCCGUGGUCCUUUGCUAAUCAUUGUCUGUUACUGAAACCAUGGGAACCAAAUACCCCCCCUCGCUGUUACAAUUUCUCAAAAGGGGCUUUUUGGGUCCACAUAUUCAGCCUUCCGGUGGAAUGGUGUAAUGCGGAAGCUGUUAGGAGAAUUGCGCGGGAUCUGGGAGAGGUGUUAGAAAUCAAAGUGGAACCCAAAGGUGGCGCUAAUUUUGUAUCAGGGAAAGUGAAAGUAGAGUUGGAUCUCUUUGCGCCUUUAAAACAAGGAAGUGUGGUUAAACGAGCGGGAAGAAAAUUCUGGCUAGAAUACAAAUACGAAAGACUUCCUCAUUUCUGCUAUGCAUGUGGAAAAUUGGGACAUUACACUACUCAGUGUGCUGAAAACCAAGUUGACCUGGAGAGAAUUAAUGAGCUACGAUUUUGGUAUUGGUUGAAGGUAGAAGCUAAAGAAUUUAGCCCUAUAUGGAAGAUGUUUUAUGAAGAUCUGAAAAAGGAUAGUGUAGAAGAAGAAGUUGUACCUGAAACUCAAGAGAAUCCAAGCCAGAUGGAUAUUGUCCAGCACCUCCCUUUAAACAGCAGCCGCAUGGAUAGACCUGAAAAAAGAAAAGAGAUGGAAAAUGAAAAACUAGGAGAUGUACAAGGAAAGGCAAGUUCUUCGUUCCUGUUAUUAACGUGGCCAGAAAACGAACCAUCUUUUGCACCUCUCAACCAUAACAUUCAGAAGGGAUUGUAUCCAAGAAAAGAAGGGAAAGCAGCCAGGCACACAAGCAAAAAAAUAGAAAAGGUUCAGUCCUUAUGGCAAUGAGAAGCAAGACCAGGAGAUUUUGGAUGAGACUCAACUCCUAGAGACCCCAAUCCAAAUUGAGAAGGGAGAGGGCACAUGGGCUUUGGUGGCUAACCCUAAUAAGCCACCGGGGUACAAAUGAACAUAUUAAGCUGGAAUUGUCAGGGGUUGAGCAAUCCCCUGACAAUUCAGGAACUAAGAGCCUUAGUGGCUCAAAACAGGCCCAGUUUAAUGUUCCUAAUGGAGACGAAGAACAAAGAAUAGCUGGUUGUGAGGUUAAAGAAGAACUUCAAGUUUCAGAACCACUUUGUGGUGGACCCAAUUGGAACUGCAGGCGGGCUAGCUUUAAUGUGGAACGCUGAAAUUCAGGUAUCAAUUGAAUCAUACUCUGCUGAUUUUAUAAAUGCGACUUGCAAAUGGGAAUGAAAUAGAAUAGUGAUGCGAAGUACUUUUGUGCAUGCCCCUUAUACUUUCCAAAAAAGGGUGUUGUUAUGGGAGGAAUUGAAAUAUAUUAAGCCCCACAAUUCUCUACCAUGGAUUUGUAUUGGUGAUUUUAAUGAAAUUCUAUAUCACUGGGAGAAAGUAGGAGGAAGAUUAGCUGAGUAUCACAGAAUGGCAGCAUUUAGACAAAUUGUAAAUGAGUUUCCUUUUAUGGAAUUAGAAGGCAAAGGCUGUGCGUUUACAUGGGCAAACAACCGGGGUGGAGAUGAAUUUAUAAAAGAAAAACUUGACAAGGUCCUAUGUACCAUUGAAUGGAGGGUUUCCUUCCCAGAAGCUCUAGUAUUUUCCCUUCCGGCAAUAGGUUCUGAUCACUGUCCUUUAUUAGUAUCACUCAUGGCUGAAAGGAGGAAGAGAAAGAGGUACUUUAAGUUUGAAGCUUUCUGGUUGGAAGAUCAUGAAUAUGAGGAAACAGUAAAUACAGUGUUGAAUGAUCCUGGAGUGAAAAAUCUAAGCUGGGGGGCAAAGACUCAGAAAAUAAAGGCAUCCUUGGAGGUAUGGAGCAAAAAAUUUGCCAAUGCACAGACUCAAAUCAGAGACUUAAAAAGAGAACUUUAAGCCAUCACAAAUAAUCAAGAGGCUGAGCAUGAUAGAAAGAGGGUACACGAGGUAAAAGGAAAAAUAGAACUGUUAUGGAAGCAAGAAGAAAUGUUCUGGGGGAUGAGAUCGAGAGUUUCAUGGCUGAAAUGGGGGGAUAGGAACUCUAAAUAUUUUCAUGCUACCACUAUACAGCGCAGGCAAAGGAGCAGAAUAUCUAUGCUCCAAAUCUCCAGUGGAGAGUGGACACAGGAUGAAAGAAGGCUGAAAGAGGAAACUUUAGCUUUUUUCACUGAAUUGUACACCUUGGUGGGACCCCGCAAUAUCCAGCCCAUCAUUGACCAAUGCCCUAUUAUGGUGACGGAAGAGAUGAACACAGCUCUAACAACAAAAAUUAUGCUACAGGAAGUCAAAGAAGCAGUCUUCCAACUCGGUGCGUUAAAAGCCCUAGGACCAAAUGGACUAAAUGGUCAGUUUUAUCAGCAUCACUAGAAAGAUAUUCAGACAGACAUUAUGGAAAUGGUAGAAGAUUUCUUGGAGACUAAAUGCCUAAAUCCAAAUCUAAACAGAACACAUAUUGCACUUGUUCCUAAAGCCCCAAACCCAGAAAAAUUAGACCAAUUCCGACCGAUCAGCCUUUGCAACUUUUCCUAUAAAAUUAUCUCAAAAGUGUUGGCAAAUCGUCUUAAGAGAUGGCUUCCUGAGUUGAUUGAAAUAGAGUAGAGCGCUUUUGUAAGUGGAAGACAGAUACAAGACAACAUCCUCAUAGUUCAAGAAGUUCUUCACCAACUCAGAAUCAGGAAAAGAAAGAAGAAAUUCCAAGCCGUGCUCAAACUAGACAUGAAGAAGGCCUAUGACAGAGUUGAAUGGGACUUCCUUGAAGCUUGCAUGAAGAAAAUGGGUUUUAGCACUACAUGGGUAACUUGGAUCAUGCAAUGUGUCACAACUACCUCAUUCAGCGUGAAAUUAAAUGGAGACUCCUUACCUUAUUUUCAACCAGCUCGAGGUAUUAGACAAGGAGACCCUCUAUCCCCUUACUUGUUUAUAAAGAUUAGAAGGUAUUAAGUUGAACAGCCACUGCCCCACACUAUCGGACUUACUGUUCGCAGAUGAUUCUAUUUUCUUUUUAGAUGGCAAGAUUAGUGAGCGCCAAAAUCUAGCUGAGGUGCUGAAUCAAUAUUGUGUAGCUACUGGGCAACUAGUGAAUUUGAACAAAUCAGGGAUCCUUUUUAAUGUAGGCUAUCCCUAGAGCUUAAGGAGGAAUAUGGCAAGGGAGCUAUGAGUCCCAGAAAUCGACAAAACAGGGAAAUAUUUGGGUAUCCCCUCUAAUUGGGAUAGUUCAAAAAAACAGAUGUUUGCAUGGAUUUUGGCACGGGUAAAUAUGAAGCUGGAAGGAUGGAAGGAAAACUUAUUGCCUAAAGCAAGAAAGGAAGUCCUUUUGAAAGCAGUAGUUCAGGCUAUCCCACAAUAUGCAAUGUCGAUAUUCAAAAUCCCAGUAUUCAUUUGCAAAGCAAUAGAACAAAAGAUAGCCUCCUUUUGGUGGAAAAAAAAUGAAAGAAAAGCUGGAAUUCAUUGGAAAACUUAGCAUCUAAUGAAAAUGAGGAAACAUCAUGGCGGUAUGGGUUUCAGAGAUCUCAUUACAUUCAACAAAGCCAUGCUAGGAAAAUAGGCAUGGUGUCUAGCGGAAAACUCUCCCACACUAUGGAUCCAACUUUUGAAAGGCUUAUAUUUUCCUAAUACAGAUUUCUGGCAUGCAAAACAGGGUCAAAGAGCUUCAUGGGGAUGAAAAAGUCUCCUAAUUGGGAGGGAAGCUAUCUCAGAAUCGUCCCAAUGGUCUGUGGGUGAUGGACAAUCAGUCAGAAUACGGCAGGAUAAAUGGCUAAAGUGGGGUAUACUAAUCGGACCUGCUAAUAGAGAAGACCCUGAGUGAGUUAACGAGUUGAUUGACAGGCAGACUGGCUCAUGGAAAUAGGAUAUAGUACAAAACACCUUCGAAGACAGCAUUGCAGAUGAAAUACUGGCCAUUCUCAUCCCAGCUACAAGUGUAAAAGACAAACUAGUAUGGAAUGCAACAACAUCAGGCAACUACACAAUCAAAAGUGGGUAUAAUCAACUAAGGAGAGCAAAGAUAAAUUUAGCACAUAAUGAAGCAUCGACUUCAUACCAGAAGCCAAGAGAACUAUGGUGCAAAAUCUGAAAUUUGCGGACUAUCCCGAAAAUAAAAGUUUUUAUGUGGACCCUUUGUCAAAAUGCACUCCCUACGUCAGAAAACUUAAGUAGAAGGAAAAUCGCACCUGAAUCAACCUACCAGCUCUGUAAAAAGAACCCCGAAACAGAGGAACAUCUGUUUUUGCUCUACCUCUGGGCAACCAAGAUUUGGUCAGACCCACGCAUCAGUAUACCAGUUCAAAGAAAGGGACUAACAAGCAUAGAUCAAUGGAUCCUUCACUAUAAGCGAGCCUUACCAGAAGCACCACCCCUCGAGCAAGUUGCUGAACUGCUCUGGUUCAUGUGGAAAGCAAGAAACGAGGCCAUUUUCAUAGGGAAAUUGCUGGAUCCGCAGGGAGUUAUCUCGGAAGCCCUCGCAAAACAUGAAGAAUUCAAAAUCUGGAACUCAAAACAGGAUGUGCAUGAGGAGAGAGACCGUACUUGCGCGACGAACUGGAACCCCCCUGCACCGAAAUCGCUGAAAAUCAACGUCGAUGGAGGUCUCCGAGUAGGCGAAACCAGAGGAUUGAUUGCUGGUGUAUGCAGGGACACGGAUGGUGUUCUUCUCGGAGGGUUUGCACGCCAAGUUAGAGUGCAAUCUGCACUCCAAGCCGAAACCCUAGCUCUGCUUGAGGGGAUGAAGCUUGCGCACGAAUGGGAGAAGGGAAAAGGCAAAAAUGAAAGUACAAUUGUUGAAUCUGACUCCUCUGUUGCAGUUCACGCUUUGUUGGGGGAAGGACAAGUACCGUGGGACAUUGCAGCACAAAUCGAAAUGGGCCGGGCUUCUCUGUCUUCUUCGCCUCACAUAAAAAUUACCCAUUGCUUUAGGGAACAAAACAAAAUUGCUGAUUAGGUUGUUAAAGCCCAGCUUAGCCAUCGCCUCCCGAACAAUUGGGUUUCGAGUCCACCGCAACCAUUGUUUGAUUUUCUUUGUUCUGAAGCCCAGAUGAGUUCAUGUUCUAUGUUCUCUACUUAAGUUGAAAUGAAAUGCAGCUUUUUUGACCAAAAAAAAAAAAAACCUCGAGUCAACCUAGGUUAAAAAGCAAGGUGCCGCAAAAUAGGAUCCAAAACUCGUGCAGUGUGCAACCUGCAAUCCCUCCAGCAACUGAUGGUACUCUUGGCUGAUUUCACGAACUCUAAUGGUCGAUAUCCUCAGGGACUUAAAACUUCGUAUAGGGCAAUCAUUCAUAUGUACUUCUGAACAACAAUAAUUUGUCCUUUUCUAACUCUCCUUACUCAUGAACAUCAUCGCAACUUGAAGCCACCUUGCAUCUUACAGUCCACAAUUCCUUGCUCACUUUUGUCAACCUUCCACUACAUUACCUGUUGUUGCAACUCAAAUUGCGAUGGGAGAACCUUAUUCCCAGUCUUCAAAACCGUGUCACCUGAUUCAACCAAACGAAGGUGCAAAGUUAUCGCCCGUGUAGACGCGCUGCAAUUAUAAUAUUUGGGUGGUGGGACCCAAAAAGAGAAAAAGAAAAUAAGGUUGAAAAGUCAAAAGAAGAAAAAGCCAAAGAAGGGGACGCACGGUUCUUAAGUAGACCGAGAGCACAUGCCAAAAAAUAAAAUAAAAAAGAGGGAAAGAGAGGAAAGAAAAGAGGGGAAGGAGGAAAGAAAGAAGAACAAAGGAAAAAAGAGAGGGCUUUGUGCCAUAGAGACCUCGUCAAGCUAAUUCAACUCUAAUAUUUCAUGCUCGCAUCCCUCGUUCUUCCAAUCAUAUUAGUUUUCAAGAUUAAGGCUUAAAUUCAAAAUUAUGUGAUAUUCAAGUCAUGAAGUCCGACUUUUAAGUUAUUGAGCUAUAGAAUUUCUUGAAAAUGAUAGUUUAAGGCGUUAUGAAGCCAUAGGGUUUGUCAAGAGUCAUUUUUUAGUAACAAUUUGGUCAGAGGAAAAUUUUAGGGUUUCGUGUUCAAGUUCCGCAUUGCAUUUAAAUUUGAAUAAUUGCUUCGAGUGAGCCAUUUAUUAGUGCGUAAAAGUAUUUUUGUUAACGUUUAAGUAUAAUUGAGAUAGAGUUUUAUUUUGAUUUAAUGUCAACUCUCAUUUAAUUGUUAAGAUUAUGAGAUCUUCAAUUCGUGUAGCUAUGCGUUAUUUGGUUUGGGAUUCUUAAGUGAGUGAUACUAUCUCUUCCAUGAAUUUCUAAACUCAUUUAUUGAAAGCAACACAAAUUUGAUAUAUUAUAACUUAUGAAUAAGCAUGUUUGUUGCAUAAAAUCUGGAUAAGGUGUUUAGUACAAUUUAGUACUUGUAAAUGGUUUGCAAAUGUUUUGGAAAGUUGUCGCAAAAGAUUAUAUGUAUAUAUGUUGAUUCAUGAACUUAAUUUAUGAAAUGGAUUCUAAAAUGGUUUGGGAAACAUAUUGUGAUUUAUGAAAUGGUUUUUGAAUUUGGCUUUGUGGAUUGUGAAAGAUGUCAUGAACUUAAUUUAUUUGGUUUGCCUCAUUAGAUAUUUGAGCAGGAGUUUGAUCAAUAGAUGAACCAUUGACAUGUGAUUUUGUUGAAAUUGAUUAAUGGACUUAACCAUCAAUGUUUGUCAUAAUAUUAUUGAUUUAAUGAUUGUAUUCUAAUAUGUUUAUAGUUAUGUUAAAGCAAUAUAACUCAUUUUUAUCUUAUAUAUGUAUUAUGUACUUAAAACUGAUAUAUAUGAUUUAUGAUAUUGUUUUGUAAAGUGCAUAGUGGAUGCUUAAUUUGCUUAGAAGAGUUGCACCACUCACCAGGCUGUGAUUGUUUAUUCCAUUUAUCUUUUGUGCUUUUUAGGAUCCUUGGUUAAUGGCUGUCAGAGGUAGAGCAAUAUCAACAAUUGGACUUUUAGGAGUGGGAUUUUAGUGGUUUAAAGUUGCAUCUUUUGAGUGGAAGAAAGGCCAUGUCAUUAUCUCUAUCCCUAUAGAAUUAGGAGUGCAUUAACAACAGGGCAAUUCAGUACAAUUUAUGUUUCCUAUUCGCCAUUUAAAAAACUCUCAAAUCUAGUAAACACAUGAGGACUUUAAUGCAAUCCAAACGUCUGUUCGAAACAUAAUCAAGCACUCCCGAUCGUCUGUUGCUAACAAAAUCGUGGGAUGGCUUCACCUCGAAUCUAUUCUCGAUAGUCUCUAAAGUCUUAAGUUUGUCCCCUGAUAUUGCCUUCAAUUGAACAUGAACAUAUUCAAGAUGAAAACACAAUAGUCUCUCACUCCAACGAAUUUACACAGAUAGUUCAAAAGCCAUGUGCUCGCUUGGAUUGGUAUGGAUUAAUAGGAUGUCCCAAGCCUUAAGAUGACAUCAUUGACUGCGUUGAUGACCAUUGACUUGAUCACAUCACAUAGAUGUCUAUUCAUGUGAUUUGGGAAAAAUUGUUAGAAAAGUCUUAAAUCUAUUGCAUUUAUAUCAAUUUAAUCAUAAACAUUUUGACCUAAUGAUAAUUCAGUCCUUCAAGCUAAUUUGGCAAAUAUUGUCGACAUGAAUGCCAACUGGCCUUCUGGCACUAUUGGCACUAGCGUGAACAAUUUUUAAUAUUAUAUUUUAUUAUUUAGAAAAAAAAAUUAUAUUUUUUUUCUUUCCUUUUUUUUUUUUUUUUUUGGUCUUUCUUCUUCCUUAUGUCGAUCCAUGGCAUGGCGAGUUGGCCUCACCUAGGCAAGGGUUGUCGUCACCUGCCACAAGUGAGGCCUGACAGGGCAAAGGUCGACCUCACGAUGACCUCGGCGAGGGCUGCAGUUGAAAAUCUAACGAGGUCCCCUUAGCCUAGGCAAAAGUUGACCUCACCAGAUUUGGCAAGGGGCACCCUACCUAGUCGCCCCUUGCCUGUGGUGGGUGACAACAACCUUGCAUAAGUGAGGCCAACUUGGUCAUGGUUGUUAACCAGCCAUCAGCUAUAGGCAAUGGCCAAUCAUUGACAAAUAGAAGAAGAAAGGGAAAAAAAUUCAAAAUAAUAAUAAUAAUAAUAAUGUAAAAAUAUAUAUUAAAAUAUUAUUAAAAAUUGUCAACAUCAAAGCCAGCAAUAUCACAUUAGUAAUAUCUUGCCAAAAUUAGCUAGAAGGACCGAAUCGGCAUUAGGUCACAACGUUUAGAACUAAAUCGGCACAAUUAAAGGUUUAGGACUAAAUUAAUUUUUAGGACUUUUUUGACACUCUUCCCCAUCAUUUUCCAUCUCAUUUUGUUGUUCCUCAAACAACCUCUCCUUGGUAGCCACCAAAGUAGGAUUUGAUACCAACUCCGUCACCUACACUUCUUUAAGGCGUCUCAAGAUGUUAACUUUCCCAGUGGCCACCCUUCCAACAUGGAAGAAGGAGGUGGAGCGUUCGAAUCCCCACCUUCUAGGGGGGUUGGGGUAGGAACAAUUUAGUUUCAAGUGUGGGCUUCAGGUCCAAUGCCAUGCAUGGAGGCAUAACAAAAGUCUGAGAGUGAGAGUUAGAAUAAGAGUAGAGUAAGACUAACAAAAAAAAGAAGAAGAAGAAGAAGAAAAGAUGUUAACUUUCCCUACUUGGAUUGUCUCUAGCACUACAAGAGCAGCUAAGGUCUCGGCCUAGGUGGCCCUUUCAAUGGGAUUAAUACUCGCGGCUUAAUCAGGCUUCGAGUGAUUUUUUGUUCUCGACAUUUUUAAUCCUCUUAUUAAACCACAAAUAGUCUCAUCGAGCAUGCCAAAAGGAUGUUUCACCAUAAUUGAAUCAACAACGAAAUACUUUUUACUAGGAUUAGUUCUUAAUUUUAUUAUGAGCAUACGUUUUGUAACACUUCUGAACAAGAGUCUUAUCAAUGGAGUACAAGGAAACAAAUAGAUAAGCUUUGACGGAAUCUAAUCAACAUUGUGAUAAACAAAACUUUGCCAGAUUUUUUCCUACGACAAAGUCGAUUGAAGAUACAACUUUAUUUGACAAUGGAGACUCGAAAGGUAGUACUGACAUACAUGCCAAAAUUUAAUCGAUAACGAGAUAUCUGAAAACUACAACUAGGAUAAAGAGAAUGAAAGAUAAUUAAAAUAUAACAAGUUUCAUUUGUUUUGUGACAAAGAGUACACGUGCUAUUUAAAGCUUACAACAGACAAUUACAAAUGGAGGUUACAUAUACUAUUUGAUAGUUACAUCGAUUCCAUUACUAGACGGUUCAUUGAAUUUAUGGCUUUGAUAGUUAGUUCAUUUCAUUGCGUUGACACUUAGGCCCUGUUUGUUAACGUUCUUUUUUUCUCUUUAUGAACAAAAAUCCUGUUUUUUUGUUCCAGGAAACAAAAAAAGAACAGAAACGCGUUUGUUUGCGUUUUUGUUCCAAAUCUAUUUUUUUAUUCCCAAGAACACAUUUGGAACAGAAACGAGAAACAAGAAAAACAUGGCCGGCCUCGCCCAGAUCCAGCUCGCCCGAGCUCGCCCAACCACCAACGAGGCUUGCGGCCUGACAGUGGCCCGGCGAGGCCGAGCCUCGCUGACGCGGGGCAAGGCUAGGCGAGCUCGGGGUCGCCAGAUCUGGGUGAGGCUCGGCCCAACCACGGCAAGGCUCGGCCUCGCUGGGGGCGGUGAGCCUCACCAUGGCUGGGCAAGGCAGUCGGCCCUCGUUGGCCGGUCGUCGGCCAUGGCCGAGGCCGGCGACCGGCCAAAGAAGAAAAUAAGAAAUAAGAAAUAAGAAAUAAAUAAAAAAAAAGAACACAAAUUUAUCAAAGGUGUUUUUAUUCAUUUUUUAUUCCCAAAACAAAUUUACCAAACGCAUUCUUCUGUUCAAAAAUUAUUCCCCGGAACAGAAAUAGUUUUUUCUAUUUCUGUUCCCUAGAACAAUUUUUGAACAGAAACAUUACCAAACGCGCCCUUAAUUUCCUGACAGGUGUAUCCACAAUCAUCGACUCCACUAUUAGUCGAUAUCUUCAAGUUGUCAAUUUGUUGCUGCUCUUCUAGCCAAACUAUCUUUAUUGACAAAGUUUGUCACUUAUCGAUAAUUACUUAAAAUUGGUCAAAAAAAUAUAUAUAUUUUUUGGGUAUAAAUAGCUCUUGAGGGAUUUGUGGAACCUUUAGGUCCUUACGUCACCUCGACUAAUGACAUCCACCGACAUUAGAUGGCGGAAAAGCAGCGAAAGCUCAUAAACAAAGGAUUUAGCUGGCAAUGAAGAGACGAUAGAGCCCAUCUCUAUUUGGGUGGGUGUGUGUGGAAGCUUCGUAUCGUCUGAAAAUGCAAAACCGCGUUGCCUCAUAAUUUCUACGCAUGAUGGGGGUCGGGAGUGUCCUCUUCUUUUGGAAACUUCUUUUUUACAUCUGAAGCCAACUGUCCUCAGCUGAGUUUUAGCGUUUGAUGUUGACUCCAUACAUCCCCUUCUCUCACACGCUUUUGCUUUACCCCUUCUCCAUCUUUGGCAAAAAAGCUAUAAGUACCAUCUGCACAUCUCUCCCAUUUCAUCAAGCAACACAAACACCCACAGCUCUUCCUCUCUCUCCCUCAGUGUCUCCUCUUCAGUCCUCACUCUCAUAUCAUCUCAUUGGCAUUUGCAUCUCUUCAGCAACUACAGCCGCAGCAGCAGCAGCAAAAAACAAAACACGCCCCAUAUGGCCUCUCGUUCCACUUCUUCGCUUUGUACCACCGCGCUUCUUCUCCUGGUCGUUUCUUGGGCAGCAUCCGCUUUUGCCCGCAACUUCUACCAAGACUUCGACAUAACCUGGGGAGAUGGCCGAGCUCAGAUCCUCAAUAGUGGCGACCUCCUCACUCUUUCCCUCGACAAGGCCUCCGGCUCCGGCUUCCAGUCCAAGAACGAGUACCUGUUUGGCAAGAUUGACAUGCAACUCAAGCUCGUUCCCGGCAACUCCGCAGGCACCGUCACCGCUUACUAUGUAAGUCUCCAUCUUAAUCAGUUGGUGCCCCUUUAUCUUCAAGCUUCCUUCUUUUUAUCUCGAUCAGAUUUUAACUUUUACUAUGUUGUUAUUCUACAGUUAUCUUCAAACGGGUCGACGUGGGACGAGAUAGACUUCGAGUUCUUGGGGAACUUGAGCGGCGAUCCAUACAUUCUCCACACCAACGUCUUCAGCCAAGGCAAGGGUAACCGAGAGCAGCAAUUCUAUCUCUGGUUCGACCCAACUGCUGAUUUCCACACCUACUCCAUCCUCUGGAAUCCACAACGCAUCAUGUAAGAGUCUGAAAAGCUCAAAAUGCGACCUUACUUGCAUUUACAUUGCGCUACACUAUUCUCUGCGGCAUUUACUCAAAUACCUUUGUGCGCGACCAUUGCAGAUUCUCAGUGGACGGGACUCCCAUCAGAGAGUUCAAGAACGCAGAGUCCAUCGGCGUUCCCUUCCCCAAGGCCCAGCCCAUGAGGAUAUUCUCGAGCCUCUGGAACGCGGACGACUGGGCAACCAGAGGCGGGCUCGUAAAGACAGACUGGACACAAGCGCCCUUCACUGCUUCCUACAGGAACUUCAAUGCUGAUAACGCCUGCGUUUCGUCAUCUGGGUCCUCAUCUUGCACUUCGUCUUCAUCUUCUUCGGAUGGUAAUGCAUGGCUAUCGGAAGAGCUCGACUCAACAAGCCAAGAGAGGCUGAAGUGGGUUCAGAGCAACUACAUGAUCUACAACUACUGUACAGAUGCCAAAAGAUUCCCCCAAGGCGUCCCUCCUGAGUGCACCAUGUCCUAGACGACACAAGACAUAGGAUUUGUAGAAAAUUCUUCGUUUUUUUUUUUUUUUUCCGCUUUGUGAGCCAACUCUAUUCAUUAGUUAAUCUCCCUCUCGAUGUGCUCGAGAAAGAAUUGAUAAUCUUUUAUUCUUUGACAUUGUAUAACAGUCUUGUCUUUACUCAAUAAAACAGAAACUCAUCUUGGAUUUCAUAGCAGUGCUGCGAUUCAGUAAGUGGAUACUACACAGAGCAACAUUAAUUGAAAGAGAAUGGAUUAUACAGGCUAGCUCCUGCCUUGAACAUGAACAGAUGACAGAAUUGACUACGCUGUUGUAACUCUAAAAAUUUGAUAAGCGCUACAUUAAGUGAGUCUUGUUUUUACGCUGAAUCCAACUCCAAUAUCCUCAUCGAGGGACUGAUUUAGCCUCCGUGUCUUACUGGUCCUUGUGUUUCACGGAAGUACCAAAAAUAGACAACCGAUCAUCACCAUACAAUCAUGACCAGAUGAGCUCUCCAACUCUGCGAACUCAAUGAACAUCCUUGUCUCCAACAUAGAAUUAACCGCAAUUUAUGGCUGAUCAACCUCAAGUCAACCAAACUUUAAGAACAUGGUGCCGCAAACUAGGAUCCAAAAUUGUGCAGCGUGCAACCUGCGAUCCCUCCCACGACUGAUGGUACUCUUGGCUGAAUUCACGAACUCUAAUGUUAAAUAGCUUCAGGAACAUAAAAUUCAACUAUAGCAGACAUUCGUGUGUACUUUAUACCUACAUAGUUUGUCCUUCUCAAACUCACCUGACUCAGAACAAAAUCGCAACUUGAAGCCCCAUUGCAUUUUACAGCCCACGAUUCCUUGCUCUUUUAUCAACCUUCCACUACAUUACCAGUUACAACUCAAAUAGCGAUGUGAGACGGGCUACAGUAGAGGAAAUUCAGAACGACUUCUGUUUCCUAUUUUUCCAUUUAAGCAACUUUCGUAUCUAGUAAACACAUGAGGACUUUAUUACAAUUCAAACCUCUGUUCGACUCUUAGCCAACCACUCCUGAUCAUCUGUUGCUGACAAAAUCAUGUGGGACAGCUUCACCUAGAAUCUGUUCCCGAUAAUCCCUUAGAGUCCUAAGUUUGUCCCCCAAUACAAAAUGCGUAACCAAGGAAGCUUCGUUAUAAUGCUACUGCAAAUUCGAGACAUCAAAGCAUAUAAGAAAAACCUGAAUAUUUUCUUCUUCCAACUAAACAAAAUCCAUUUCCAUCUUCUUUUCCCAGCCAAAAGAUUGCACCGAUCAUCAAUAAGGGAAAACCCAUUGUACUUAUCCUAAUAUACCAUCCUUGCAAAUCAUCAAUAUGCUGAGUUUCUAAGAAAAAGUAAUAAAAAUCGAAUCUUUUACAUCAGAAAGAAAGAUAAGCCGAACAAAGAGACAGAACACGGAUAGAUUAAAGGAAAUAAAAAUCGUACAGAGGGAAAGAUAAGAAAGGACCUGAAACGGAGGAUUUCGGGUGCCUCUGCGGGAAUUUACUGUGAGGAAUUCUCUUCAUUAUCUCAACUUGCAAUGUUCGUCAACAAAGUUUGAUUGAACUGAAGUGAACCGUGAGGAAUAGGUGACAAAUAUAGAGUUAAACCAAAGGGAAGUUGACAAAAUUUGAUCGCCCAGAGCCAUUGCAAAUUUUGCCCAAAAGUCAGGCGGUGAUGUUUUCUUCUUCCAAUGUUUACUUUCCGCUUUCUGUUUUCAUUUUGCAUGAAUUUUUUAGUUUUUUAGAUGGUGCUCACGUCCUAUAACAUCUCUGCUUAAGAUACUUCAAGAUGAUUGUGAAUGUGACAAAGUUUUAUCUUCUCCUAUAUCUUUCUUUAAUCGAUAAAAUUGAAUUGUAUUUGAUUUUGGACAAUCCAUUCACUAGAUCUCCAUGUACGAAAAUAGCGUGGGAAGAAUGCACAUAAGACAAGGCCCCUCCGAGGAGGAGGGCCAAGCAAAGGGAACGAUGGGUAGGAGAGAUGGAGAUUCGGGCUUUCAAGGGACUUGUGAUCUUUAAAAUCCCAAUGACAUUCUAGUUAACUCAUUUGAGAUAUUGUUCACUUUGACUCGUUUUAUUUUGAAGCUCACAACUUUUGUCUUUUAGGGUAGAAGUACUUUCUCAAGUGACCACCGUUCUAGUAGUGCCCUAGUCUAAGCAUGAUUAACUUUGGAGUUCCAUAUACCUUGAUUAACUCACUUGAGAAAUUAUCCAAUUUGGCCCACCCAACCUAAAGCCCCAUGGCUUUGACCUUGUACAAGCAAAAACACUUGUUCAAUAUGUCGUCCAUUCUAAUAGUGCAUUAGCCUAAGCACGCUCAACUUUGGAGUUUCAAAGUAAAACUUGUCAUUAUCGUCACACCUCUAACUUGACAAGAAUAAGGACAACGAAAUAGUCAUCUUUUUUUCCUCAAGAACGCAACUUCAAACGUAACCAACAUUAACCUAUCAUUCGAAAAAUACAUAUCCAAUCAAAAAUCUGAUGGAAUAGAAUAUUAGUUAUAAAUCAAAUUUCUAAAAUCCAUUAACACUAUAUAUAUUUUUCCCAAAUUAAGAAACUAAUCUUCAACAUAUACCAUUUCAGAUAUAUCCAACUAUCUAUAUCUAUCCACAAUUCAGCUAUCAAGAGUUCCCCAUUAAUAUUGCUCCCGUACUACUCGUCGCUAACCGGAAAGAUUUGGGAGGAAAUGGGUAAACAAAAACAGCUCACUGAGUAAUGCAUAUCUCAAGCAUUCAUUAUGAACUUUUACAAAACUAUAACAAAACUCAUUAAUCCAAAAUCCAAUUGAUAUUAUACGUACAAUUUCAAAUAUAUGUUAUUUGGUUUCAGCAAAUAUUCAUACGCAUACGAUCAAAAUGAAUAAUGAAAUGUGUGUCACGUGAAUAGCAAAAUACUGAAAUAUCCAUUACUUUUAAAUACCAUAAUUCAUACACGUACAAUACGAAAAGCAAUUAUACCUUUCUGCAAAACUUCAUAAAUAUCGAAAAUCAUCUAAAUCAACAAUAUUGAUUUAUAUAUUAAUAGUCUAUUGUAUUUAUUAAUCUCAUAUCAAAUCAAAUAACGAUGGUCCAUUUCAUCGAUUAAUCUCAAAUCACAUGUCAAUGGCCCAUUCCAUUGAUCAAACUUGUGCUCAAAUUUCUACCUAUGAUCACAUAUAAUGCCUCAUGACAAGGCAAUUAAGAUUCUCAUUGGCAAGUUCUUCACGGCCUAGAAGGAUAUCCUAAAAUUAGUAUGCAUGCCCAGAAACCCCUAAUCAAGUUCACAGCAAUAUUAAGUACCAAAUUGUCAUCCUUUAUUACCAAAAUCAACAGCCAAAAUCCAUCUCAUAAAUCGGUUUCACAAAUCAAAUCAAAUCAACAUUUACAACUCAAUUUAUCAAAUAUAAUGCAUUUCAUAAAGUAUUUAACUAAUAAAUACAUACAAUCACUCUCAAUUCUGUUCAUCAAACAUAAUAUAUAUAUUUCUCAAAACAUUUCUCACACCAUUUUGGAAUUUAGUUCAUAAACCAAGUUCACAAAUAUAUAUAUAUAAUUUUCACAACACAUUUCCUAAUAUAUUUCACAAACUAUUCUUAAAUAUCAAAAGGUAGUAAAUGCCCUAUCUAGAUUUUGUGUAACAGACAUGCUUUAAUAAGUCAUACGAUACUCAAAUCAAUAUCACUUUCAAAACAUGAGUUUUCAAACUUAUUGAAGAGAUAGCAUCAUUCACUUGGGAAUGCCCACGACAUAAUUAUAUGCGCCAACAAUCUCGUAAUCAUAAUAAUUAAAUGAGAAUUGAUGUCAAAAUCAAGUAAAAUACUACAAUUACGAAUCAAUUAAACUACACUUCAAUGCUAACAACAACAUUCUUACACAUCAACAAAUCGCACAUCCAAAUAAUUAUUUAAGCAGUUCACAACACAAAACUCACACGCGAAACUAUAAAAUUUUGCUCCGACGUAACAAUUACUCCAAAAUGACUCUUAUCAAAACCCCUUGACUCCACAACAUCAUAACCCACCAUAUCUAUGAAAUCACCAAGUUCAAUAACUUAAAAAUUGGACUUUGCAGCUCAAAUUUCACGUAACUUUAAAUUUGUGCCCUAAUUUUAAAACCUACUUCAAUUAGACGAAUGAAAUGUACGACCACUUACCGAGCAUUGCAAAUUGGACUAAAUCCGACUUGGUGAGAUCCCCGCAACAUGUAUGCGUGAGUUUCGUCUCUCUUCCUUCUUUAUUUUCUUUUUUUUUUCCUUUACCUCUCUUUCCCUUUUCUACGUGAGCUCUCAGUCCCCAUACAGCUGAGUCCAUUCUUUUUCCUCUUCUUUUUUUGACCACUUUUCUUUUUUACUUUUUGACAUUUGACUGACUCAAACUCCAAAUAUUACAGUUACGUCAAAAAAAGCCUCCGUGAAUUAAUUUAGAGCUGCCACAAUAUAAUAUCAAAAUGGGACCCUCUCUAAUAGAUGUAUGGUUUGGGGACAAACCACAUGAUAAUUGGUAGGCUUGUAAUGAUCUAGUCCAAUAAGGGUGGCAAGUGGUGGCCUCGGCCAACAAGCUUGAAUAAGAAGCGACUCUUGACAAGCUUCUAGGAUGACAAAGGAGGUAGGAACGAAUUGAAUUGCGAAGAGGAGGAGAGUGCACCCAAGAUAUAUUUGUGAAAACUGAAAUUAACUCACAUAAACAUCUUUUGACGUAACAAUAAGUUUUACUUUGGAACUCCGAAAUAAAACCUACUCAAUUUAGAACACUUCCAAAAUGCAUGACCUCUUUGGGAAAGUUUCUUCUUGUAUAGCAAAUGACAAAACCUUGAGACUCGGAAUUGGAUGGGCCAAAAGGACAAUACCUCGAGUGAGUGAAUCAAGGAAUGGCAAUAACUUUGCGUCAAAAGACAUUAAUUCCAGAAUUUACAAAGGUAUUCCAAGCGCACUCUAGAAAUUUUAUUUAUUGAUGCCUCAUUCGUUAUCUUAAAAGUUUGCCAAGACUAGCUCUUUAUUCGAAUUGUAUGGUUCACACGAAUGCUCUCCGAUCUCCGCUAUUAUCGGACCAGGCCGUUACAACCAUGACUAUGCAAACCGGACAAGCAGCGAGAACUCAUGGUAAAGCACGUAGCUGGCGGUCAAGAGAUGAUACAUCUCGUCUAUGCGUCGGGGUGGGUGUGGGUGUGUGUAGGGAAGCUUCGUGUCGGCUCAAACCGCGUCGCCUCAGAAUUUCUUUGCACGGUGGAUGUGGGUUGGUCAUGUCACUGUUUGUCCUCUUCUUUUUAAUAGCUUUUUUCAUAUCGGAAUCCAACUGUCCACAGCUGAUUGGUGUCGAGGUUUCACUCCCACCAAUCCUUCUUUGCCUCUCUCUCACACGUUUUCUCCCUCCUCCAUCUUCGGCACGAAGCUAUAAAUACCAUCUCCACAUCUCUCCCAUUUCAUCAACCAACAGAAACACCUACAUCUCUCUCUCCUCUUCAGUCCUCACUUCUCAUAUUAUCCCAUUGAGAUUUACUUCUCUUCAGCGAGUACAGCAGCAGCAGCAGCAGCAGUAGCAGCAGACAGAACACGCCUAAUAUGGCCUCCCCUUCUGCUCCCUCACUUUGCAUCACCACAUUGCUUCUCGUGGUCGUUUCUUGGGCAACAUCUGCUUCCGCCCGCAACUUCUAUCAAGACUUCGACAUAACCUGGGGAGACGGCCGAGCUCAGAUCCUCAACAAUGGCGACCUCCUCACUCUCUCCCUCGACAAGGCCUCCGGCUCUGGCUUCCAGUCC